AAAAUAUAAAACAAUGUUCUACGUUUUUUAAUAAUAAUUAUAUAAAAUAAACAUGUUUACUGUAAAAGGUAGGGAGGGCUUAGCCCUGUUGGCCCAUUAAUACCAGCCGUCCCUGGUUAAUAUGGUGUAUGUGUUGUGCUAAAAGCCUAUACGGGUUAGCCUAUUGUGUAGACUAUAUUAGCUUAAAGUGAAAUCUUAUGUCUUGGUACUGUAAGUCAUUCUGAAAUGAUUACUGUUUUACUGUAUAUUUAUUGCUCAUUGUUAAAAAAAAAAAACGAAUGUACAUUUAUUACAUAAGGGAAUUAAUUAUUAUUAUUACAUCUAUCACAAUAGUACAUGCAUAGAAUAAAUACCACUGAAAUGGUUAUGUUUAACUUGCGUAGUCUAUUGUGCAGAAUGCUAACCUCAUUCAUUUAUUUGAAUGCAGGCUGAAAAUGCUGGCAAAAGUGGAAUAUGGGGAGUCCAAAAAUACAUUAAAGUUCCUCAAACUGAUGACAAUUUCCAUUUCCUCCAGUUUCUUCAAGAAGCGACGGACAAAUUUAGUCUGCAGGCUCAACGUCUAUCCGAGGGUGUGUUAGCCUUGACUGAUGCAUCAGAUACCGAGGUUGAUGCAGACACAUUUGAUGAGCUGAUAAAGUCAGGGGUCCGAAACUUCAAGGUUGGAUACCGCAAGUACCCAGUAAUGGAGUUGGACCUUGAAUUGGUGGAAUGCAACUCGCAGUCCUCCGUAUUGUCAGACUCCACAGCAUCACCAGUUUCAUUGCCAGGACCCCCCGCAUCACCAGCUUCUACAAGUUCAGGUUCGACAAUCAUCCUCCCAUCCACUAAAAACCGGAAGAGAGGCC